AACAUACUCCCUCCGUUCGGCAUUACUCGUCCAAGAAAAUGAAUGUAUCUAGAUGUAUUUUAGUUGUAGAUACAUUCAUUUUUGUGACAAGUAAUUCUGAAUGGAGGGAGUAUUUU
rfam:Triticum aestivum genome assembly, contig: Triticum_aestivum_CS42_TGACv1_scaffold_146650_2BS